rnacentral:tRNA from 1 species
GGGCGCAUAGCUCAGUUGGUCAGAGCACCUGCCUUACAAGCAGGGGGUCACAGGUUCGAGCCCUGUUGCGCCCA